CGAAUGUACGGUUUAUUAACCCAACUCCCCACAGGCUACUGUUUGGCCGCAGCCCACGACAAAAUAAAUGAAGGAUACCCUAUAAACCACCCGCGACCUUCUCUUGUGAAAGCCAGACAUAAGAGAGAGAACAAUGUUUAAACCUGGUCUAAACUUCCAAUGCUCUCUGCCCAACCCCCCUCCACGCCUCUCCACCAACCACCAGGAAGCCCGGCAUCAGAACGUUCCAGGAUUGGCAGAUAGCAGGUAGAUUGGCAUGUCGAACCCCGCGAACACUGGGUACUGGUAAGUACAACACAACCAACUAAUAGACUAACACAUAACACACAGCUGUCUGUGUGGGUCGCUACAAUAUUGAAUCAUUUCUGCCCACCGAAUUCAUAUUCGUUAUACACUAUAAAAAAUAUAAGACCGGCAUAUUAAAUAUUGCAAAAGAAAAUCUAAUGAUUUUUACUAAAAAUAAUAGGUUUCUGCUUUUGAACACAUUUUAGAUUAUAAUCCUUAAUUUAUGUGUUGAAAAAGAAUCCAAGAUCUAGUUAUGAACGUCAGUUGUGCUUGGAACAUUUCAACAGACGUCGUCUUGAUCUUUCUCAUCUGGAAAGGCCAUGUGGCAGGUGUAUCACUUCUAUCAUCAAGAAAUGGACAGUGACAGAUGGCUAACUACACCUAGCUAUCUAACUACACCUGUCCUGGCAGAAACCUUCUUGUUGUUCAGGUGUUCAGACAUUCCUGGGUGCUGGACAGACCAUAUUUUUCAGAAUACAUUGACAAGGAAAACGAGAUGCAUCGCAGAUCUACCUGUCUGUUUCUCUCUUCUUCACCUGUCUCACUGCCCUCCACGCUGGUUUUCCGAUGACAGACAGACAGCUACCUAGCCUAAACCCCGCCUCCACUCUGAAUCGGUAUCUCCCUGGAAUGUUCCAGAAUGCCUGAACUUAGCAUGCCUGCUGCUGUUUGUGUUAUCUUUAUCAAUCAAUAUGACUAUAUGAUUUAAGUUAUGAUAUUGAUCAUUUUGGCUGAUGGACUGAGAGGAAUAAGCUAUUGACUGACUCCAUGCUUGAUGACUUUACAAUCACAGAGAGCUGUUGACUGACUCCAUGCUUGAUGACUUUACAAUCACAGAGAGCUGUUGACUUCAGAUACUGGAUGACUUUCAAACACAACCACCAAAGUUGUGCUUCUUUGGAAAACCGUUCUAAAACCAAACCUGCUGGUUGAAAUAUGACAUUGCAGGAUGGUGAUGAAUCAACUGGAGGCUGGCUGGCUGCUGAAGGAUGGAUGAACACAAUGGACUCAACUUCCACAUUGUUCUGUUCAUAACUCAUCAGUCUUUGGUCUACGCACCACAAACACAUCAAGUAUCUACUAUUAAAUGUGAGCUGGGUUUUCACUGUUGGAAAUGGAUGGACUGUUUCAGGAAAAACCUUCAAGUCACAUCAUAUAUGCAAUCUAAGACUUACUAAACCAGUUGACUUAGUUGGCUUACUGCAACACAAGAAUCAUUACUGACCACCUACUUCUGUGUUGGACUACUAGGUGAAACAGCCAUUCUGUUAGAAGGAACAACGUUACAAUGUGAUGGACUACUAGGUGAAACAGCCAUUCUGUUAGAAGGAACAACAUUACAAUGUGAUGGACUACUAGGUAAAACAGCCUCUCAAAACUCCAAAGAUUGUAUUUUCUUCAACACUUAGUUUUUAUUUCAGUAAUGCUUCAGGGAAAUGUAAAGACAAGGUCCUGGACAGUAACAGGAUUAUUGUCUUUCUGUCUGAGACUCUGUCAUCAUAGAGAUCUAGUAGUUUAUUUAGAUCAGGGUUGGGCUCAAUUCCUUUACAUUUCAGGAAGUAAACUGAAAGUCUAAUUCCUUUACAUUUCAGGAAGUAAACUGAAAGUCCAAUUCCAAUUUUCCUCAAUGCCACUCUGAGAAAAUGUCAGUUUACUUCCUGAAUUGACUGUAUUGACAUUGAACUGACCCCAACACUGAUCUAGAGAUAAGAGACUGUAGUCCUCUUGGGGGAGUAGUGGGGAUGGGAGGCAGGGUGAAGGGGUCCUCUUGGGGGAGUAGUGGUGAGGGGAGGGGAGACAGAGGACAUCCCAGUCUGAUCACUGGAGGUUCUCUUGCUACAGAGAUGGUCUAUAGAAGCCUUUUAGUAGCUGACAUUCCUAACCUCAACUGAGAGGGUCUCAGUCCCUCUGAUGGCCCUGUUGGUGUCUACUCUGUAUCUCUGUGUGUGUCCUGUUUUUCGCUGUCUGGGACAAAGGGGGGUUGUUGUGGAAAUUGAGGGGGGUGAGGUUAGUAGUCUUUUGGCAGCAUGACCCUGCGACCCCCCAUGAAAUAACACAAGGUGAUCUUCCUUCUGAAAGGAAUGUUGUCCAGGGCCUCCACUGCCACCCUCUUGUUGCCCCUGACGCUGCUCUCCUCCUGGUCGUACAUGGGGCACAUGUAGGCUGUUCGCCUCAGGGCGUAGAUGUCCACCUCGUCCUCGUCGUCCCACGGCUGGUAGGGCUGCUGGGAGGGAACGGCUGACUUGACCAGACGGGGUCUCAUCAUGGCCAGCUCUAGGUCACGGGGGAUAUGCCUCAGACCCAGGCUAGACCUCUGGACUCUGGCUCCUUUAGAUUACAUUACAUGAGGUUACAUUCAUUUAUUAAUAAUUCCUUUAUGAAUGGUUAAAAACAGGAAAAUCACCUUCCUGGUCGUACAUCAGCAAACAACAUUAUACAAUAUUGACAAUAUAUUCAAUAGAGAAAAUGUGUCAUUGCACAAAGAGAAGUGCUGACCUUUCUUUCUCUUCUUCUUGGUCUUGUCAUCCCAGGCGUUGGCACUGACAAGGGACACGUUGCCCUGCCCCAGGGAGGGCAGCAGUUUGGGCCGGGGGGCCACCGGGGGUUUGGGGACCUUCUUUGGAGGAGGAGCAUCCCUCUGGGCUCUCCUGGCCAGCAGAGGUCCUGUCUGGACGAAGGCCUCAGGCCUGAUGAUGUCCCUGGGUGGGCUGCUGCUCCCUCUGGCAGCCUCCUCUGGCUGGGCAGCUUUCGGCAUGGAGAGAACAAACACAUUGUUGCUGAAGCUGCAUGACUCUGAAAGGGCCGGCUCCUCCAGGGUCAGAGGGCAGGUAGGACGGGGCUCAGGCUGGACUACGUCCACAGUGCUGGUGGUGAUGCUCACAGGACUGGUAGGUUGGGACUCAAGCAUAACGGAACACACAGGAUUACUGGGCUUAACUUUUCUCCUAGUGGUGUUCCGAGGGUUGCUAGGCCUUCCCUCAGGUCUGGAAGGCUGAACAUCAUGCUGGACCAGGCCCACGGGUCUAACAGGCCGUCUAGUGGGGCCCAGAGGGUUGCUAGGCCUCCCCUCAGGUCUGGAAGGCUGUACAUCAGGCUGGACCAGGCCCACUGGUCUAACAGGCCGUCUAGUGGUUCGCCGAGGGUUGCUAGGCCUCCCCUCAGGUCUGGAAGGCUGUACAUCAGGUUGGACCAGGCCUACGGGGCUAACAGGCCUUCUAGUGGGGCGCCGAGGGUUGCUAGGCCUCCCCUCAGGUCUAGUGAUGCUGACAGGGAUUCUAGGUGUCAUCUCAUUCUGGUACAGGCUCUCUGGGCUGUUGGGCCGGGAAUCAGGCAGAAGCUUGUAGUUCUUCAGAACCUCAGUGAAGGAAAGCUCCUUGUUGCGCCUGCGUCUGUUGGUUUUGGCAGGUAGCUGGGAGCUGCUCCUGUUAAACCAACCGGGAGACUCACGACAUCCAUCCUGGACAGGAACCAGGGUCUGGAGGUCUCUCCUCUUUCUGUGGGCAGCUGUGGGCCUCUUGGGCCUGAUUUCGUCAGGAGGGGGAGCACGAGGUACAACAUGCAGGGAGGGGAAUGCUGAGGGCCUGAAAGAGGAGGCCAUCACUGGGGCCUGGCUGACCUCUUCUCUCUCCAGCAGCACUCUGUUAGAAGGACAGAGCAGCGGAACACCGAUGGACCUUGGUCCUCCAGACCCAUUCAGGUUGGGCCUCCUAUUCAUCAUUCACUGGUCUGCAGUAUUCUAAUCAGAAUGCUCCUUCUAGUCUUGAAUACUUGGAAUAGGAAGUGGCUUUCAGCACCAUUAAACUCUAUAAAAAGAGAGCCACAGAAACAUCUUUGUUUAGUAUUUGGGGAAAUUUUUUAAAAU